UCGAGCGAAUGGAUUAAGAGCUUGCUCUUAUGAAGUUAGCGGCGGACGGGUGAGUAACACGUGGGUAACCUGCCCAUAAGACUGGGAUAACUCCGGGAAACCGGGGCUAAUACCGGAUAACAUUUUGAACCGCAUGGUUCGAAAUUGAAAGGCGGCUUCGGCUGUCACUUAUGGAUGGACCCGCGUCGCAUUAGCUAGUUGGUGAGGUAACGGCUCACCAAGGCAACGAUGCGUAGCCGACCUGAGAGGGUGAUCGGCCACACUGGGACUGAGACACGGCCCAGACUCCUACGGGAGGCAGCAGUAGGGAAUCUUCCGCAAUGGACGAAAGUCUGACGGAGCAACGCCGCGUGAGUGAUGAAGGCUUUCGGGUCGUAAAACUCUGUUGUUAGGGAAGAACAAGUGCUAGUUGAAUAAGCUGGCACCUUGACGGUACCUAACCAGAAAGCCACGGCUAACUACGUGCCAGCAGCCGCGGUAAUACGUAGGUGGCAAGCGUUAUCCGGAAUUAUUGGGCGUAAAGCGCGCGCAGGUGGUUUCUUAAGUCUGAUGUGAAAGCCCACGGCUCAACCGUGGAGGGUCAUUGGAAACUGGGAGACUUGAGUGCAGAAGAGGAAAGUGGAAUUCCAUGUGUAGCGGUGAAAUGCGUAGAGAUAUGGAGGAACACCAGUGGCGAAAGCGACUUUCUGGUCUGUAACUGACACUGAGGCGCGAAAGCGUGGGGAGCAAACAGGAUUAGAUACCCUGUAGUCCACGCCGUAAACGAUGAGUGCUAAGUGUUARAGGGUUUCCGCCCUUUAGUGCUGAAGUUAACGCAUUAAGCACUCCGCCUGGGG
rnacentral:rRNA from 1 species